rnacentral:lncRNA from 1 species
GUUGACAAGUAAAUAAUAAUGAGAAUAAAGCUAAUUAUAAAACUUUUCUCCCUAGUAUUUUGUAUGUUAGGCUCUAUUUUUAUGAAUUUAAGGAGUGGUUCCUGGAUAUAUGAUGUUCUUUGCCUAGGUUUAUCAGGAUUUCUGCUUAUAAACAUUGUCUGCAUUGUCAGUCUGACCCUAGAUCAUGAUUUACCCUACACUUUGGACUACCUAUUCUUGAUAGUGGGAUCUACUUUGAACUUGACGGGUGGAAUAAUGGCAAUAAUUUAUUUUACAGAUGAAUAUGAACGGUACAAAUAUAUGAUACCAUCAACCUAUUUGUUGCCUGUCGGUAUAUGCUCCAUUUUAGCAGGAUCCUGCAUGAUUGCAGAUUUGAUUAAAGGCAUUUUGGAAAAGAUGGGGCCAAAUAAUUAAUACUCAUUUAAUUCGUAAUAAAUAUACGUAUAAAAAUAUAGUAGUAUAAGUUAAAUACUGGCUUUGGACUUAUAACUAUAUGCAAAUCUAGUUUAUUCGGUGUCCAUAAGACUGUUCAGGUGUCCAUCAGCUGUUGGUUUAUACAGUCGGUCAUAGGUCAACUAUCUUUGAGAUAAGUUUUUUGAUGUAUUGACAUAUGUAUUUAGAGAGAAUGCUAAAAAACCAAAUAUGCUUUAUUGUUUUUUAACAUUAGUUAGAGUUAUAAACAAAGCAAAAAUAUAAUAAUACAGAAAAAAAUAUAAUAUUACAGCUAAGAAGAAAAUUUCACGGAUACAGUAACAAGGAACAAAAGUCGCAAAAAAAGGUUUUAGUAUAAAGUAACAAUAUGUCAACCAAAGACAAAUGUAUUAAUAAUGGACAAUAAUAUAUAAAACUUAAAAUACAGAACGCACCUAUAUCAUGUCGUUUUGGCGACAUGGCGAGACAGGAUUAUUGGGCCAUAUAUACUUUUUCAAACAAUCCCUAAAUAGCAACGUCUGUCUUAACUUUUGGACCAAUCAAUUGCCGUUGUUGCUGGAAGAUGUGCCAUUAGAAUUGCGGCAAAGCAUGUUCUUGCAGUUUUUCAAUAUUUAUACUGUUAUAAGGUUCUCUCCAGCAAGUGUGAUUUCCAAGCCUUGCGAAAUGUGGGAAAAGAUGCUAUGGACUUUAUUUUAAAUAGCAGUUUAAAAGAAUGCUCAAAUUGAGUCAUACAAUAUGUACCCCAGAAUGGAAGCAGGUUUCAGAGAUGUGCAAAACAUACAGAGCUUAAUUUUUUGGAAGUCUUCAAUAUGCCAAUCCCAUUUUAAGGGCUUGGCUACAAUAAGUGCCAAAAACCUAAUAGAUUCAACAAUGACUAAACUGGUGUUACAAUAUACAAUAGAUUGGUGAUGUUAUUUUUGAAAAAAUUAUGUACAUUGUAUUUUUUUUUAAUUCAUGUAACAUUGAAUUUUAUGAUUGAUGCUAAUAAAUAUUUAAUAUGAAGUA